CAAUAUCCUUCACCAGACGCUGUGGUUGCGCCCCUUUGAUAUUCUCCACCAGUCGCUGCCACCAGCCAACCUGCCGCCACUGACCAGUCCGACCCUAGGCAGCCCAACGCAAAUUCCAGACCCACCAGUUCCAUCGGGCAAUGAAACAAGAUCUAGCCAAGAAAGAUUAUCAAACGGCUUGGGAACUUUGUUAUGCCUGAGAAGCCAGCAAAUGGGUUUGCAUGUUUAUUGAUUUGAGUAGGAUUCAGUCAUUUUUGUGAAAUUAUUUUUCAAGUGUUUGUCAUAAUGUUCUCAUUCUAUAUCAACUCUCUCUCUCUAGUAGUUGCCUAGUAUUUUGCCGUAAGUCUUUCGAGCAUCUUUGUAAACCUUUCAAGGAGUAAAUACACAAGCAAGAUUUACAUUUAAUGGCUGAGUGAGAAGAUGGAUGAAAUUCGGGAAAUAGACGAUGGUGCGACCCAUGCUUAAAAAACUAAGGCAUGGACUACAUAAUUUUUUUAGGGGGCAGGCAAGAUUUACGGUGGAUUGGGUUUAACGAGAGAGAUGGAGGGUCAGCAGGAGGGAGGCUUUGGAAGAGGGGAAGGGUUACGGGAGGAGAGAGAGGGUGGUAGGGGGGUUUGGAAAGGGGAAUUUUUUUGUCCUCAUCAGCUGUUGUAUAAUUGGGCUGUUAUUUGAAGAAGAACAGAUCAACCGGUUUGAAGGUUUUCUGAAUA